AAUGAUUACAACUGUGCCAAUUUCUCUUUCAAACUGAAGUUGGCUUAGUAAUUUGAGUGUGGCAAUAAAGUGGAUCAUUGUGAUUUAUUUGAAGUUGAUAAAUUCAAGAUCAUAUAUCUGAGACACCUCCUUGAAGAACUUGCUCUUAUUACAGUGCUUUUGUAUUGUUCUGGCAGGUUUAGAUUUUCCCCUUUUUUUAUGCCCCAAAGUGCUAUUUUCUGAAAUCAGCGAUCAAUCAAAUUUUCUACAAGAGUUUCACGCCUGUUUUGUUUUCUAUGUCUGAUCCAUAUAUCACGUCUGCUUCGGCUAUUUAAGUCUCGGGUUACCUGGCAUGUGAAUAUAUAAUCCUUUAUGGAAAGUGGUAGAUUGUAAUAAUUGAGAUGACUGAUUGGCUUGUAAUUUUAAUUUGUUACUAUUGUUAUAUUAAUGCCCAGUCAAGAGCUAUGCGGGGCUUGCAGUUUGAGUUUACUUG
rnacentral:misc_RNA from 1 species